UAACUGCAGGCAAACUGAUGAUACGCUC
rnacentral:piRNA from 1 species